rnacentral:rRNA from 1 species
GACGAACGCUGCGGCGUGCCUAACACAUGCAAGUCGAGCGGAGUCAGUAAGAGGAAGUUUUCGGAUGGAAUCUUAUUGAUUUAGCGACGGACGGGUGAGUAACGCGUGAGCGACCAACCUUGCACAGGGGGAUAACGGACCGAAAGGUUCACUAAUACCGCGUGAGACCACGGUGUUGCAUGACACAGGGGUCAAAGGAGCAAUCCGGUGCAAGACGGGCUCGCGUCCGAUUAGGUAGUUGGAGGGGUAACGGCCCACCAAGCCUAUGGUCGGUAGCCGACCUGAGAGGGUGAUCGGCCACAUUGAAACUGAGAUACGGUCCAAACUCCUACGGGAGGCAGCAGUGGGGAAUAUUGGGCAAUGGGGGAAACCCUGACCCAGCAACGCCGCGUGAAGGAAGAAGGUUUUCGGAUUGUAAACUUCUGUCCUUGGUGAAGAGAAGAAGACGGUAGCCAAGGAGGAAGCCCCGGCUAACUACGUGCCAGCCGCCGCGGUAA